rnacentral:tRNA from 1 species
UAGAGCAUCUGACUUUUAAUCAGAGGGUCAGAGGUUCGAAUCCUCUAUGGCUCACCA